rnacentral:lncRNA from 1 species
GUGGGAUUCCAUCCCAGCUAACGCCUCUCUGUCUCUCUCUCUCUCUCUCUCUCUCUCUCUCUCUCUCUCUCUCUCUCUCUCUCUCUCUCUCUCUCUCUCUCUCUCUCUCUCUCUCUCUCUCUCUCUCUCUCUCUCUCUCUCUCCCCUGGUCUGAUUGUUUCUUUCUUGUGUUUAUUUUUUCUUCAUCUCCCUGUUUCUGUCUCUCCACGAAGCAUGCAUUUGCCCUGAACAAAACCAAAGGGAAAAAGGCAGAAGAUGUUACAUGAAAUAAUGACCUCCACUGCUGGUAAAGAAAUGGUCAACGGAAAGUUCAACGGAGAGUCCGAAUGAGUGUGUUAGAACAGUGAACAGGUAGGCUAUGACGCCUGCGAGGAAACAACGGUUCGGAUGCGACGUGGCGGCGGACGCAAGAUGGAGAUCAGCGGGUGAACCCUCCCUCUCUAAGCAGCACUGGCUGUCUCUCCCCCUCCCUCUCCCCCACCCUGACCCCCACCCUCAGCACUGGCCGUCU